rnacentral:rRNA from 1 species
GAUGAACGCUGGCGGCGUGCCUAACACAUGCAAGUCGAGCGUGAACCCUUGGAAUGAAACUUCGGUCGAGUGAAGAGGGCGAAAGCGGCGGACGGGUGAGUAACGCGUAGGCAACCUGCCCCGUACAGAGGGAUAGCCUCGGGAAACCGGGAUUAAAACCUCAUAACACCAUGAAGCCACAUGGCUAGAUGGUCAAAGAUUUAUCGGUAUGGGAUGGGCCUGCGUCUGAUUAGCUGGUUGGUGGGGUAACGGCCUACCAAGGCGACGAUCAGUAGCCGACCUGAGAGGGUAAUCGGCCACAUUGGAACUGAGACACGGUCCAAACUCCUACGGGAGGCAGCAGUGGGGAAUAUUGCACAAUGGGCGAAAGCCUGAUGCAGCAACGCCGCGUGAGCGAAGAAGGCCUUGGGUCGUAAAGCUCUGUCGAGAAGGAAGAUAAUGACGGUACUUCUCGAGGAAGCCCCGGCUAACUACGUGCCAGCAGCCGCGUAAACGUAGCGUG